AUGCUUGCCUAUGGUCAUUACAGGGACUUUCUGACACUUAUGCGAGCAGAGGGUGGCGGGCUGGGUUUACUCUGCAAGAAAGGCUUCACCGCCAAAUUAUGGAAGAGGAAUGCUGGUUGUGAUGGUGUUGCUUCGUGGGUGCUGGGAAGAACUAUUAGACUGGACAAGCUACUUUCCCUGAAUUUAGAGAUAAAGCACAUACAGAGGAUAGCGUAUGCCGAGGAAAAUAAUGUGGCUUUCUUGCGGACAGUUUCCGGUAUCUUCAUGGUCCAGCUUGAGUCAUUGCAGUUCAGUAAACUUCCUGAAAACAACAACUGUGCUAUCUGUUAUCCAUUAGAAAGUGUCUAUGCUGCAGAAACAAGCAUUGGUGGUGGACAUGGUGGAGCUGAUCAAGAUAUGAUAGUAUGA
rnacentral:rRNA from 1 species